GCUUUGUUAGCUCAAUGGUAGAGUGUCAGAUUCUUACAGUCCCACUGACCGGGUGGGAUUCUGGGGGUUGCAGGUUCAAUUCCUGUGCGAGGCA